UUUGUUUUAUUAUAUCCGUUUAAAUUUGUAUAGAUCAGUUUUGAUAUCUAACAAUAUAUCUAUCCUUGUUUUAAAAGUACGUUUUGGAAAGCUAAUUUACCACUGUGCGUUGUUCGUUCAGAAUGUAAAUAAAUUCUAUAGAAUUCUAUACACUGCAAUAGGUACAUACCUUCAUGGAGUCAAGUGUUCCGACAAGGAGCUCGGCAAUCCAAAGACAUUCUUAUUUCGUUAACGACUAUCAUUAUCAACGCUGUCGGUUUUAUUAUUUGCAGCGCUGACGUCUCCGGUUUCAAAAACGAAACUUACGAAUCGGACACGGUGUUUUCGAGGGUCCGAUCUUCCCGAGAAUCACGUACUAAAUAUUUUACUUACCGCACGACCGACUGUACGGCGCCAAGACUAAAAUAGAGCGAUUUUUUUUUUCCAAUCAGACAAUAACACAAUAUAUGUGCCUUGAAUUUUAUUUAAGUAAUGUGAUUCAGUUAAAAAUACACGUUGAAACUU